UCAGUCGACUCCUACGGGGAGGCAGCAGUAAGGAAUAUUGGUCAAUGGAGGGAACUCUGAACCAGCCAUGCCGCGUGCAGGAAGACAGCCUCUGGGUCGUAAACUGCUUUAUUCGGGGAAUAAACCUUUCUACGUGUAGGAAGCUGAAUGUACCGAAGGAAUAAGGAUCGGCUAACUCCGUGCCAGCAGCCGCGGUAAUACGGAGGAUCCAAGCGUUAUCCGGAUUUAUUGGGUUUAAAGGGUGCGUAGGCGGCUUAUUAAGUCAGGGGUGAAAGACGGUGGCUCAACCAUCGCAGUGCCCUUGAUACUGAUGAGCUUGAAUACACUAGAGGUAGGCGGAAUGUGACAAGUAGCGGUGAAAUGCAUAGAUAUGUCACAGAACACCGAUUGCGAAGGCAGCUUACUAUGGUGUUAUUGACGCUGAGGCACGAAAGCGUGGGGAUCAAACAGGAUUAGAUACCCUGGUAG
rnacentral:rRNA from 1 species